CCUACGGGCGGCAGCAGUGGGGAAUCUUCCGCAAUGGACGCAAGCCUGACGGAGCAACGCCGCGUGCAUGAAGACGGUCUUCGGAUCGUAAAGUUCUGUUCUUAGGGAAGUAGUCUUCGGUUGUGAAUAAUGACUUAAGGUGACGGUACCUAUGGAGACAGCUCCGGCUAACUACGUGCCAGCAGCCGCGGUAAUACGUAGGGAGCGAGCGUUGUCCGGAAUUACUGGGCGUAAAGGGCGCGUAGGCGGGAAGUUAAGUUAGAUGUGAAAACUCCGGGCUUAACCUGGAGACUGCAUUUAAUACUGUGUUACUUGAGGGCAGGAGAGGAAAGUGGAAUUCCUAGUGUAGCGGUGAAAUGCGUAGAGAUUAGGAGGAACACCAGUGGCGAAGGCGACUUUCUGAACUGUACCUGACGCUGAGGCGCGAAAGCAUGGGGAGCGAACAGGAUUAGAUACCCGAGUAGUC
rnacentral:rRNA from 1 species